AUAGCAGCCGAAGAAUGCCGUGAAAGUUUCUGUACAAAGUACAAUUGAUCUACAAUUGAUAUUUUCCGCAAUACUUAUCUGAUGUUCGGUCAGGGUGUCCCAUACUCAUGAUAUUUAUGACAGUGGAAUGGCGCAACAAGAGGAAUAUCGACCACGCAACCACUUUCAGAAAAACAAGAAGUAAAUAUAACGUUUGUUAAAGCAAGUGGAGAGAGAAUCAAAGCAACAGGGAAAGUUGGAGAUACUAUAUUAGACAUAGUAGUAAAUAAUGAAAUUGAUUUAGAUGGAUAUGGUGCUUGUGAAGGAACAUUAAUUUGUAGUACGUGCCAUUUAAUAUUUUCGAAAGAAGUUUAUGAUGCACUUCCUGACAAACCAACAGAUGAAGAAUUAGACAUGUUGGAUUUAGCAUAUGAAUUAACAGAUACGUGAGUUCAUAAUAAUCAGUAUCAAAUCAUUCACAUUAUUAAUUCUAUUACCUUUUAAUAUUUUAUAAAGUGAAUUUUUCUUUGUAAAUUUAUGUAAAAACAGGUUAGUAUUGGGUAUUUCGAAAUCUGCAUCUCAAUGUAGAAUUUCAAAUCGCUAUCUCUGAAUACUACGAAACUGAAAUUAUAAUAAAUUUUCAUAGUUUUUUAUUUAUGACCCUAUAAUCAUUACGAAUCUAUGUUGGAAUUAGCAUAUUUACAAUGUUGAUUUUCAAAUGGAUAAAUAGAAAUCUUAUUGUGUAUUAGUAUUAAUUUGUAUAGCAAUAAAUAUAUUUAUUGACAUAUUCAGUUAUAUAAUAUUUAAUUUCGGGUCACGGCUAGGCUGUCAAAUAGUAAUGUCUAAGGAACUAGAUGGAAUUGAGGUAAGAGUUCCAUCAACAAUUAAUGAUGCAAGAGCAUAACUGAAAUUAUCUAUAGGUUUUUGAAAAUUUGUAUACAAUGUUAUACAUCUCUUGUUAAAAAACCCUUGUUAUAAUUAUUAAAAUAUUGGUAUUAAAAAAAUAUAAUAAAGAAUCUUGUGUUUAAAUGUGAAGCUUAUAUAUAUACAUAUGUUAUAUAGUAUAAUUGCAAUUUUGAUAUUUGUACAUUGCCAUUGUAAAAAGCCUAUCCAAUUAUGAAGAAAAUAUAUCUUUUAUUUUUAAUAUA